rnacentral:rRNA from 1 species
UACGUAGGGGCCAAGCGUUGUCCGGAAUUAUUGGGCGUAAAGAGUUCGUAGGCGGUUGCCUAAGUCUGAUGUUAAAUACUAGAGCUCAACUCUGGCAUGGCAUUGGAAACUGGGCAGCUAGAGUGCGGUAGAGGUCUCGGGAAUUCCAGGUGUAGCGGUGAAAUGCGUAGAUAUCCGGAGGAACACCGGUGGCGAAGGCGGCUUCCUGGACCGACACUGACGCUGGAGGCGACGAAAGCUAGGGGAGCAAACGGG